rnacentral:lncRNA from 1 species
AUUAUUAGGUCUUUCCACUUUUCUGUGGAAAGCCUAUUGUAUUUGUUCUGAUUAUUAUUAUUUUUUUUUUUUCUUCCGCCAAAUUUUGUUCUUGCGAUAAAUGUUUGUUUCGCAAUAUGUCGCUUAGAUUUUUUUCAUAAUGUAUCGUAUAGUUUAUGCGCUUUUAAAUUUCACCCUGCUAAGCCGAACCAUUUUCUUUGUAAGAGUUAUCUCCCUAUUCACUGUUUGUCAUGUGUGUGCAUCUCCUUCGUA